ACUUAAAUUGAAGAGUUUGAUCAUGGCUCAGAUUGAACGCUGGCGGCAGGCCUAACACAUGCAAGUCGAGCGGUAGCACAGAGAGCUUGCUCUCGGGUGACGAGCGGCGGACGGGUGAGUAAUGUCUGGGAAACUGCCUGAUGGAGGGGGAUAACUACUGGAAACGGUAGCUAAUACCGCAUAAUGUCGCAAGACCAAAGUGGGGGACCUUCGGGCCUCAUGCCAUCAGAUGUGCCCAGAUGGGAUUAGCUAGUAGGUGGGGUAACGGCUCACCUAGGCGACGAUCCCUAGCUGGUCUGAGAGGAUGACCAGCCACACUGGAACUGAGACACGGUCCAGACUCCUACGGGAGGCAGCAGUGGGGAAUAUUGCACAAUGGGCGCAAGCCUGAUGCAGCCAUGCCGCGUGUGUGAAGAAGGCCUUCGGGUUGUAAAGCACUUUCAGCGGGGAGGAAGGCGAUAAGGUUAAUAACCUUGUCGAUUGACGUUACCCGCAGAAGAAGCACCGGCUAACUCCGUGCCAGCAGCCGCGGUAAUACGGAGGGUGCAAGCGUUAAUCGGAAUUACUGGGCGUAAAGCGCACGCAGGCGGUCUGUCAAGUCGGAUGUGAAAUCCCCGGGCUUAACCUGGGAACUGCAUUCGAAACUGGCAGGCUAGAGUCUUGUAGAGGGGGGUAGAAUUCCAGGUGUAGCGGUGAAAUGCGUAGAGAUCUGGAGGAAUACCGGUGGCGAAGGCGGCCCCCUGGACAAAGACUGACGCUCAGGUGCGAAAGCGUGGGGAGCAAACAGGAUUAGAUACCCUGGUAGUCCACGCCGUAAACGAUGUCGAUUUGGAGGUUGUGCCCUUGAGGCGUGGCUUCCGGAGCUAACGCGUUAAAUCGACCGCCUGGGGAGUACGGCCGCAAGGUUAAAACUCAAAUGAAUUGACGGGGGCCCGCACAAGCGGUGGAGCAUGUGGUUUAAUUCGAUGCAACGCGAAGAACCUUACCUGGUCUUGACAUCCACAGAACUUUCCAGAGAUGGAUUGGUGCCUUCGGGAACUGUGAGACAGGUGCUGCAUGGCUGUCGUCAGCUCGUGUUGUGAAAUGUUGGGUUAAGUCCCGCAACGAGCGCAACCCUUAUCCUUUGUUGCCAGCGGUCCGGCCGGGAACUCAAAGGAGACUGCCAGUGAUAAACUGGAGGAAGGUGGGGAUGACGUCAAGUCAUCAUGGCCCUUACGACCAGGGCUACACACGUGCUACAAUGGCAUAUACAAAGAGAAGCGACCUCGCGAGAGCAAGCGGACCUCAUAAAGUAUGUCGUAGUCCGGAUUGGAGUCUGCAACUCGACUCCAUGAAGUCGGAAUCGCUAGUAAUCGUAGAUCAGAAUGCUACGGUGAAUACGUUCCCGGGCCUUGUACACACCGCCCGUCACACCAUGGGAGUGGGUUGCAAAAGAAGUAGGUAGCUUAACCUUCGGGAGGGCGCUUACCACUUUGUGAUUCAUGACUGGGGUGAAGUCGUAACAAGGUAACCGUAGGGGAACCUGCGGUUGGAUCACCUCCUUACCUUAAAGAA
rnacentral:rRNA from 1 species